rnacentral:pre_miRNA from 1 species
AAUAAACCAAUUUUUCACUUUUUACCUUCAACUUUUGACUCUUCGUCUUAUUAAAAAAUUUUUGCGAUUGAUAUUUUUGUUUUUAUUAGAUGAUAAAUCAUUAAUAGUAUUUUACGUGUGAUUAAAUUUUUUCUAAUUUCUUGAAAAUUUUUCAAAUAAGACGGAUGGUCAAGGACAUGAAAACCGAAGAAUUCGUUUUUU